rfam:Firmicutes bacterium CAG:102 genomic scaffold, scf47
AAGGAAGAUAGAGGUGCAAUGACGAUGAGUAUCCUCUCCCAAUAGAGCCGUGGGCGGCAGGAGGGGGAAAGGCGGCGUUGCCGAAGUGGUUUUUUCUGCCCAAGGGAAGAAGCUGCUGGGACAUUGCAAAAAAUGUAAUGUACUGUCACGGAUGUGGAGCGCUAUCGGAAUU